CACGUAGGGCGCAAGCGUUGUCCGGAAUUAUUGGGCGUAAAGAGCUCGUAGGCGGUUUGUCGCGUCUGCGUGUGAAAACCUAAGGCUCAACCUUGGGCUUGCAGUGGGUACGGGCAGACUAGAGUGCGGUAGGGGUGACUGGAAUUCCGUGGUGAUAGCGGUGAAAUGCGCAGAUAUCAGGAGGAACACCGGUGGCGAAGGCGGUUCUCUGGGCGAUGAUC
rnacentral:rRNA from 1 species